GAGUUUGAUCAUGGCUCAGAUUGAACGCUGGCGGCAUGCCUUACACAUGCAAGUCGAACGGCAGCAUGAUCUAGCUUGCUAGAUUGAUGGCGAGUGGCGAACGGGUGAGUAAUACAUCGGAACGUGCCCUGUAGUGGGGGAUAACUAGUCGAAAGAUUAGCUAAUACCGCAUACGACCUGAGGGUGAAAGUGGGGGACCGCAAGGCCUCAUGCUAUAGGAGCGGCCGAUGUCUGAUUAGCUAGUUGGUGGGGUAAAGGCCCACCAAGGCGACGAUCAGUAGCUGGUCUGAGAGGACGAUCAGCCACACUGGGACUGAGACACGGCCCAGACUCCUACGGGAGGCAGCAGUGGGGAAUUUUGGACAAUGGGGGCAACCCUGAUCCAGCAAUGCCGCGUGUGUGAAGAAGGCCUUCGGGUUGUAAAGCACUUUUGUCCGGAAAGAAAUCGCACUUACUAAUAUUAGGUGUGGAUGACGGUACCGGAAGAAUAAGGACCGGCUAACUACGUGCCAGCAGCCGCGGUAAUACGUAGGGUCCAAGCGUUAAUCGGAAUUACUGGGCGUAAAGCGUGCGCAGGCGGUUGUGCAAGACCGAUGUGAAAUCCCCGGGCUUAACCUGGGAAUUGCAUUGGUGACUGCACGGCUAGAGUGUGUCAGAGGGGGGUAGAAUUCCACGUGUAGCAGUGAAAUGCGUAGAGAUGUGGAGGAAUACCGAUGGCGAAGGCAGCCCCCUGGGAUAACACUGACGCUCAUGCACGAAAGCGUGGGGAGCAAACAGGAUUAGAUACCCUGGUAGUCCACGCCCUAAACGAUGUCAACUAGUUGUUGGGGAUUCAUUUCCUUAGUAACGUAGCUAACGCGUGAAGUUGACCGCCUGGGGAGUACGGUCGCAAGAUUAAAACUCAAAGGAAUUGACGGGGACCCGCACAAGCGGUGGAUGAUGUGGAUUAAUUCGAUGCAACGCGAAAAACCUUACCUACCCUUGACAUGCCACUAACGAAGCAGAGAUGCAUUAGGUGCUCGAAAGAGAAAGUGGACACAGGUGCUGCAUGGCUGUCGUCAGCUCGUGUCGUGAGAUGUUGGGUUAAGUCCCGCAACGAGCGCAACCCUUGUCUCUAGUUGCUACGAAAGGGCACUCUAGAGAGACUGCCGGUGACAAACCGGAGGAAGGUGGGGAUGACGUCAAGUCCUCAUGGCCCUUAUGGGUAGGGCUUCACACGUCAUACAAUGGUGCAUACAGAGGGUUGCCAAGCCGCGAGGUGGAGCUAAUCCCAGAAAAUGCAUCGUAGUCCGGAUCGUAGUCUGCAACUCGACUACGUGAAGCUGGAAUCGCUAGUAAUCGCGGAUCAGCGUGCCGCGGUGAAUACGU
rnacentral:rRNA from 1 species